UGUUAGAGGCUUCCCAUUUCUCAAAGUACUGACUACCAUAUUGCAAGGAAUUUAAGAUAGAACCGACGUCACCCGCAGCUUAUUUUUCCCAACAAUUGAAUAUCGAUCAUGCCAUGGUUGAAGAGCGGCCGACAACCAAGAAACUAUAUGAAGACAUGAAGAAACGAAUCGAUAAUGCUACAGAGUUGGGCCAAGUUCCAAAAGCAGCACGGAAAGAGCACAAAAGUUUUCAGGAAUGGGAUUUGGUUUCAAGCAAAUGCGACCAUCCCACCAUUCUCCAAGUACAUUUUGCUCUAUUUCAGAUAAUGAAUGGAUAUAUCAUCACCAGAAAGUUACUAGUAAAAAAACACAAGGGAAAGACACAAAGGAAUUAAUCCUGAUGUUCGUUGUUAUUGAUAUAGCUCUUUUACUUGACAUACAGAUACUUAUUGAUGGGAGAGACUCUACAGCUGUGGAUAUUGAAGAACAAACUUUGCCAACUCUAGUGUACUUGGCACGCGAGAAGAGACCGCAAUAUCACCAUAACUUCGAAGCAGGAGCCCUGAAUGCUCUUGAAAGCCGUCUCACACAUACAGAGAUACAUACCUGCAAACAAACUCGUAAUAAACGAAUAAGUGUUGGUUUCCCAAAAGUAGCCCGA